rnacentral:tmRNA from 1 species
GGGGGCGCAAUGGUUUCGACGGGGGCAAGUUGCUCCUGAGAAGCGAGUCGAAGGGAUCCUGUACCUGCGUUAAAAAACCGGGAAUUUAAAUAUAAUCGCAAACGAUAAUUUUGCAUUAGCUGCCUAAUAGUUGCAGCUCGUCAGCCUAAGAGUCCCACGACUUAGGGUCUGGCGUCGACAGUGGGGAACCGAGCCUUGCAAAGCUUUGAGUAAGGAACGGAAUUAAUGAAGCUACUAAAUCUAAGAGCCUGUUUAUCAGCGCUUAGAGGAGGGAAUGUAAAAGGAUAAACUGCACUCGGAGAUGCUCAGGGGUUGCUGCUUUCGGACAGGGGUUCGAUUCCCCUCGCCUCCACCA